GCCUGCGACCUAAUCACACGGAAUGCGCCUGAACUCGUCGGAUCUUGGAAGCUAAGCAGGGUGGAGGCUGGGUAGCGCUUGGAUGGGCGACCAGCAUGCGUGCCAGGCUGCCAUAGGCA
ensembl:rRNA 5S_rRNA 5S ribosomal RNA